CUCCUGCCCACCCGGUUCGGAUCUAGCCCGAACCCACCAGCAGCAGCCCCACUUCCCUCUGCUUCCCGCCGCCCGCCGAAGCCGGCUCCGGCAAGCACCUUCCCCGGCGACACCGCCCCUUCCCGGCGGCCAGCCCACGGCCAGGCGCGCCCUUUCCUCCCUCCCCGCGCUCUGGCCGUGGCCGGCCCGCUCCUCCUCUCUUCCUACGGGGCCCCGGGGUCCUGCCUCCCCGCUCGUCCUCGAUUUGGGUUCGCUCGUCCUCGACUCGCCGUCCGUUCAGGUUUGGAACCGCGCCUGAUUUGGUUCUUGCUCCUGCUUGGUUCGUCGGCUCACAAGUCGCGCCUGCUUUGAUUUUUCCCGUCCCCGCCGUCGCCCGUUUGGGGUCGCGUCCGGUUCGAUUUUGCUCGUCCUCGCCGUCGCCGUCCGUGUGGAGUCGCGCCCGAUUCGAUUUCGCUCGUCCUCGCCGUCGUCCGUCUACUUUAGAGUCGCGUCUGAUUCGAUCUUGCGCGUCCUCGCCCUUGUCCCGAUGCGGUCGCGUGUUCUUGGUCCGUCUCGCCUCGUCGGGGCCGGGGUCUCCAUCUCGUUUGCAAACUACCAAUUCUGCCUGCGCGCGCUUCUGCUAUCCGAACGUAGCAGUCCUGGAUUUCGUGUUCGCGUCGGUUGCAGGAACGAACGGGUCUGGUUUCGAAAUUGGAUUACGGCCGGAGAUGGGGAGCAAUGUUACUUGUUACUUUAUCGUGCUAUAGUUCAGAUCGGUUCCUCUCUUCUGUCACCUGCGUUGCUCUUGCUCUCUUGUUAUACUCUGUCAAUUCUUGGCCCUCUGUCAAUUCUUGAGUUCCAGGGUCUGUUAAUUCUUGACUUUUUGUUGUACCGGUUAGGCGUGUGUGCUCUUAUCCUAGAUGCAGAGACGGGGUGAUUCCUUACGCUUGUUCUGAUGGUGUAUAAUGCUUAUGUUCUUUCCAAUUUGUUUCUUUUUACCAUGCUUUGCUUGUGUGUUCCUGCUGCUUGACUAAUUGAACACCUGAUGCUGCUACUGUGGGACAAUGUUCCUUUUUUUCUUCCUGAUGUUGCUAUUUCCAUUGAUGAGCUCCUGCUAGUUAGUUCCCCUUAGAGUACAUUCUAGAUUGCAUAGCAUAACUACAGAAUUUUGUCAUUGCACACCUGCGCAUAUAUUUCUGUUGUGAGCAUAACUCCAGAAUUUAUUUAUCUGUGAAAGCACGUUCACACAUGUUUUUUUAUCAAUGCUGCUAACUUCUGUCGCGUCCCCAGUUAGUGUGCUGCUUGUUUUCUUGUGAUGAUGGUGAUCCAGUUGACUAGCCCAACUCUUAUGCUGUGACAUUUGUUAAUCCCCAGUUAGUGUGCCUGAAAAAUUACUGUUUGUCCUGUUAAAUUUUAUGGCAUCAACUCGGUAUUGUGAUUAAUGACCUAGUAUUUGUUUAGUGUAGACAGCUAACUUCUUUUUUUCUUAAAUUUUUAGUGAUAUGCGUGUUUUGGUAUAUUCUUUUUUUUUUGUAUUACUUAUGUCCAGUCACUGGAAUAGUGCUUUUCUUGAUUUGCCUAGACUUUGUGACAAUUAAUUUAUAGUGCGUUCAUUGAUCAUUGAGCUUUUGACACCCUAUUGCGUAAAAUUCUGUUGUAAUGUUUGUUUGAUCAUUGAGUAGUUAAUAUUGAUUCUGCGUGCGCUUCUGUUAUCUGAGAGACACUCACGAUCCUGCGUUUCGUGUUUGCGGCGGAGCGAUGAACGGUUACAUUUCGUGUUCCUGCAUUUUGUGUUCGCCGUCUGGUUUGAUUACGGACACAGGGAGAUGCCAGCAAGGUCAGUUUCAGAUCGGUUCCGUCGCUGCGUUGUUCGUCGGCGAUCUCCAGACCUCAAACGCAUGCGCCCUUGUGAUACUUUAGUUUGGCUCGCCGGUCGUUACGGUUGUUCUUGUGUUCUUGAAGAACCCCAUCUUAUACGCAGAGAUGAGGUGAUUCGUUAUGGUUCUUUUGAUGGUUUCUUAUGUUCUUUCGAAUUGGGUUCUUGUAACACUUUGCUUAUGUUCCCAAUGUCUGUCUUUCCAUAUAUGGGGAUGCGUUCAGAGGUGCAAACUGUGUAGGCCGUGGUGUGUUUUAUACUAUCUAUGGUGUGUUUUAUACUAUCUGAUGUGGAACGUAGAAAUAUUGAUAUCACUUCUGUGCUAGUAUACUAGAUAUGGUGUGUUUUAUCCAAGUUAUUAACCACAUCUCUUACAAAUUUUCCUUGAGAUGGUACAUGUUUAUAUGACAGGAGUGUUUGAUGUCUUGACGAAUAUUGGUAGUUCCUGAUCAUAGGUAACAGACCAGUACUUGUUUAGUGCAGACAAUUUACUAUUCUUUUUUCUGAACUUUUUUGUGUUAUGUGUGUUAUGUGGAUAUCAUAUUUUAAUGCUCUUCUAAGUAUUGAAGGUACAGACUUGUGGAUCUGGACAUGUCACAGUUGCCCUUUAUUGUGUUGCUAAGGACACUGAACGGUUUGGCUGGGCCACUGCACGGCCUGGCUAGUCAGGAAGUGUUGCUAUGGAUCAAUUCUGUAAUGGAAGACACUGAAGAGUGGAAAGUUGUAGUGAUUAGGGAGAAGCUUGCAGAACUGUAUGAAUUUGAACAACAAUGGUCGAGAGCAGCACAAAUGCUUAAUCGCAUUGACUUGGACUCAGGAAUUGAGUAGAAGCAAAGCUUUUGUCUCUCUUUACAUGUCAUUGGAUACUCUGGAAAUCUGACCACCAUCUUAAAAACCAGGAUGCUUGAUGACACAAACAAAAUAUCCAAGAUGAUGGUGCAGUGAAUGCUGAAGCUUUUAUCAACAAAGCCUCGUUUUUGGUCACAAACAGCAACCAGGAAGUUCUGAACUUACAAUUCAAGGUCUAUUAUGCGAGAAUUUUAGAUCUAAGGCGUAAAUUCUUGGAAGCUGCACUUCGAUACUAUGGUAUCUCUCAAAUUGAGCAACGCCAAAUUGGGGAUGAGUAAGGCUUACUCCAUGCAGUCGUAGAUUUGUUUCUCUCUUGUGCAAUUUACUCCUUUUUAAUGUUCUGUCAUUUAUGGUUCUUUGUUGCCUUGCUGGUCUAGUGGUGCCUAAUUUCUGUUUUACACCCUUCAAAUAUUUCAAUGUUUUGCUUACUGUAUGUAAUAAAUUACCCUACUUGAUAUUCAUGUUUAAGUACUGUAGUGGUUAUUAGCAAGUCAUGUUUGGAACUGAUAUGGCCUCCAUAUUUUAUUUUUAAAGAUCUUGAUGAAACAUUGUUUAUGUAUUUUCUCAGAUAGAUUGAUGAAAA